rnacentral:miRNA from 1 species
AGCUGCCGAAUCAUCCAUUCA